UCCGAAGUAGCUCAGCGGUAGAGCAAUCGGCUGUUAACCGAUUGGUCGUAGGUUCGAUUCCUACCUCCGGAG
rnacentral:tRNA from 1 species